UCCCCGUUACCGGGGCAGUCUGAAUAGAAAAAUUCAACUAUCCAUAAGGGUUGCGCUCGUUGAAGGACUUAACCUAACAUCUCACGACACGAGCUGACGACGGCCAUGCAACACCUGUCACUGAGUUCCGGCUCUGAGUACACAAACUAAUUUAUGUGCUCAGAGCCGGCACUCACUCCUUUCGGAGUAAUUCUCAGGAUGUCAAAUCUUGGUAAGGUUCUUGGCUUAGCAUCCAAUUAAACAACACGCUCCACCGCUUGUGCGGGUCCCCGUCAAUUCCUUUGAGUUUUAAUCUUGCGACCGUACUCCCCAGGCGGGAUGCUUAACGCGUUAGCUUCGCUACUGAACGGGUCGAUACGUCCAACAGCUAGCAUCCAUCGUUUACGGCGUGGACUAC
rnacentral:misc_RNA from 1 species